CUUGUCUCACCCUCCCAUCCUUGCCCAUCCAAGCCAAGCUUGUCACAACCUCCCAUCCUUGCCUACCCUUACCCAACCAAGUCAAGUUUGUCCCGACCUCCUGUCUUUUCCCACCCUCCCUUUUUCUCAGACACAUCUACAACCAUCCAUACAUCGAUUUACUCAUCCAUUCUCCUUCGCUCACAUAUCACAUACCCUAUGCAUCCACACACCCAUUCUCUCCCACCCUCCUACACAUAUUCACCCUCUUUCACAAUCCCAUUCAUAUGCACAGACACACACAUACACCCACACACACCUGCACUCACACACACAUGCCCACACACACAUCCAUAGAACUUGUUUAGGGCUUCAUCAGCACUUGUGAAUUCCAUCCUUUGUAUUCCGUUCUAUACCCGCAGCACUGACAGGAAGUGGAGUUGAGAUUUGAUUAGAUUUUUCCUCAGUGACUGUCUGAUCAGAAUGUAUUCCUUAUGUUUUUUCCUCAGCCUAGCAGACAAAUGCUGGAUGAAUCGAAUGGACUGGCCGUGGAUUUUGAUCUCCUUUCCCCCUGUGCCUUUAGAAUGUUGACUUUGGUCUGAUAGUUCCACAGCUUGAAGAUUACCAUGCGGGGGCGUUCUUCUGUUUCACGCCAAUCAUAUGGCAUUGUUCCAGAUCCUCUGGUGAUAUAUCCACAUCAAGUUCCUCUGAUAUCAGUUUGACCACAUAGCUGGAAAUGUCAACUUUUUCCUCGUCUUCCGGGAUGGAGUGAGAGACCCUAACUUCAUUAAAAUCCUCUACGCUCUCAAGCUAUCCAAUAAUGCCAAAGUCUAUUCAGGAGUGGUGAACUUCAAACCAAAGAGCUAAGUUGAUCUCAGACCGUGGCGGUGUAAGCAUCACUUCUGACCACCUUGUUGUUGAUGGCCUGAUCAAGUUCACUCUGGAGAGUGAGACAGAGUCUCUCAGCCAACAGCCUGAAGCCCAUGGUGCUUUUCCAGGACCACAAGGUUCCAGGAUAUGCCAAAGAUCUGAUCAAGUUCCUCAAUGGAUACUCCUCCUCUACUCUUUUACUGGAUGCUCAGUGAGUACUUCCUCUUCCUCCUCUGUAAUCCUAGACCACCCUGCCAGUGUUCAAUAUGGGUGCUGUGAAUGUCUCUUUCUUUCUCUCUCUCGCCCUCCCUCCCCCUCUUCCCCCAGGUCUAUCCUAGAGUCAGGUCUGAGUAGAGAAUUACUCUAAACGGUUCCAGCUGCUGCUGUAUCUAGAGGAGCUACAGAUGGAGGUACCAGGUGAGUCCGAGAAUCGUCCAUCUGUUCUGCGGGGCAACUCCAUCCUGGUGACGAGGUCAGGUGACGCUAAUAAGGGGGGCGUGGUCAAAUACCGUGGUUACGUCCACCGUGUGGAGCUGGACUCCGUCAAACUGGGAUUUAACAGGAAGUAAGGACAUGAUUGGAGGAGGCUUCUUCCUGAAGGGAUCUUAUAAAUCAAAGCUCUCUCUCUUCAUGGUUGUCUGGUUACAUUCUGAUUCUCUACUCUUUCUUCAAAAGUGUGCACUCGUUCACUCCCCCUCAUGCAUUUAAAAGCACUGGAUUAGGGAAAGCAUGGCUGGGGGGAGUUUCCAACAUAUUCCUUAUACUAGUUAAUUUCUUUUAAAUCCGUGAGGUGGCGUGCCACUCUGAACCCUCACACUAAAUUCUUACGCUGCUCUAUCAUUUGUUAGACUUUAGUCUGAAUCUUCCAUUAUUGAAAGUUGUUUUGUGGUGUUGUUUGUGGUGAAAACCAAUCCCAGUAUCAAAGCCAAUUACGUACCACAAAAACGCAGCUUCACCCACGUGUGUUCUGGCCCAACACAUUGGUUUCUGGAACUAAUCAGACAGCCCCAAAGGAUCUAAAACAAACGUCCGUGGGUGUGGCAUUGUGUUUGAACAGAUUAAGGAGUCAGAGUAGCAGUGUUGUAAAGCACUUAAGUAAAAAUACUUGAAAGUACUACUUAAGUUGUUUUUUGGGGUAUCUGUACUUUACCAUUUAUAUUUUGGUCAACUUUUACUUUGCUGCAUUCCUAAAGAAAAUAAUGUACUUUUUACUCCUUACAUUUUCCCUGACACCCAAAAGUACUCAUUACAUUUUGAAUGGUUAGCAGGACAGAACAUUUUACAAUUCACACACUAAUAAACAGAACCUCCCUGGUCAGCCCUACUGCCUCUGAUCUGGCGGACUCACUAGACACAAAUGCUUUGUUGGUAAAUUGUCUGACUGUUGGAGUGUGCUUAAUAUAAGGAAUUUAAAAUUAUUCAUACUAUUAAUUUUGAUACUUAAGUAUAUUUAAAACCAAAUACUUUUAGAUUUUUACACAAGUAGUAAUUUACUGUAAUUCUUCACUGGAUCAGUCUGAAACUUUGUACACAUACUGCUACCAUCUGGUGGCCAAAAUCGAAAUUAAACAGAUUCCUAUCUGAAAGUAUGGCCUUUCUCUUGCAUUUCAAAGAUGGAGAAAAAAAAUUACGUUUUUUUGUUUGUAUUAUCUUUUACCAGAUCUAAUGUGUUAUAUUAUCCUACAUUAA
rnacentral:lncRNA from 1 species